UGAUCAUGGCUCAGAACGAACGCUGGCGGCAGGCCUAACACAUGCAAGGCGAACGAGAAGCCUUCUUCGGUUGGGUAAAGUGGCGGACGGGUGAGUAACGCGUAGGAAUCUACCCAGCUGUGGGGGACAACUCGAGGAAACUCGAGCUAAUACCGCAUAGUCUCUUAGGAGUAAAGAAGGCCGUUUCCAAAGAUUUAUCGCCAAAGGAUUGGCCCGCGCAUGAUUAGUUUGUUGGUGAGGUAAUGGCUCACCAAGACUACGAUCAUUAGCUGGUCUGAGAGGACGAUCAGCCACACUGGAACUGAGACACGGUCCAGACUCCUACGGGAGGCAGCAGUGAGGAAUAUUGCACAAUGGGGGAAACCCUGAUGCAGCCAUGCCGCGUGUAUGAAGAAGGCCUUAGGGUUGUAAAGUACUUUCAAUAGUGAAGAUUAUGACGGUAGCUAUAGAAGAAGCCCCGGCUAAAUUCGUGCCAGCAGCCGCCGCCUAAAUUCGAGCCAGCAGCGGCGGUAAUACGAAUGGGGCAAGCGUUGUUCGGAAUAACUGGGCUUAAAGCGUGCGCAGGCGGAUAUGAAAGUCAGAAGUGAAAGCCCCGGGCUCAACCUGGGAAUUGCGUUCCAAACUGGCAAGCUAGAGUAUGGUAGAGGAAGGUAGAAUUCCCUGUGUAGCGGUGAAAUGCGUAGAUAUAGGGAGGAAUACCAGUGGCGAAGGCGGCCUUCUGGACCAAUACUGACGCUGAGGUGCGAAAGCGUGGGGAGCAAACAGGAUUAGAUACCCUGGUAGUCCACGCCGUAAACGAUGUCAACUAGCCGUUGGGCCCCUUGAGGGUUUAGUGGCGCAGCUAACGCGAUAAGUUGACCGCCUGGGGAGUACGGCCGCAAGGCUAAAACUCAAAUGAAUUGACGGGGGCCCGCACAAGCGGUGGAGCAUGUUGUUUAAUUCGAUGCAACGCGAAGAACCUUACCAUCCCUUGACAUCCUAGGAACUUGGUAGAGAUACCUUGGUGCCUUCGGGAACCUAGUGACAGGUGCUGCAUGGCUGUCGUCAGCUCGUGUCGUGAGAUGUUGGGUUAAGUCCCGUAACGAGCGCAACCCUUAUCCUUAUUUGCCAGCGAGUAAUGUCGGGAACUCUAAGGAGACUGCCGGUGACAAACCGGAGGAAGGCGGGGACGAGGUCAAGUCAUCAUGGCCCUCACGGGAUGGGCUACAAACGUGCUACAAUGGGGGGCACAAAGGGCUGCAAACUCGCGAGAGUAAGCGAAUCCCAAAAAACCCCUCGUAGUCCGGAUAGGAGUCUGCAACUCGACUCCUUGAAGUCGGAAUCGCUAGUAAUCGCGAAUCAGAAUGUCGCGGUGAAUACGUUCCCGGGCCUUGUACACACCGCCCGUCACGUCAUGGAAGUGGGUUGCACCAGAAGUAGCUAGUCUAACCUUCGGGACGACGGUUACCACGGUGUGAUUCAUGACUGGGACGAAGUCGUAACAAGGUA
rnacentral:rRNA from 1 species